UACGGAGGGUGCAAGCGUUGCUCGGAAUUAUUGGGCGUAAAGGGUAGGUAGGUGGUCUUAUUUGUCUGGGGUGAAAUCCUGGAGCUCAACUCCAGAACUGCCUUUGAUACUGGCGAUCUUGAGUCCGGGAGAGGUGAGUGGAACUGCGAGUGUAGAGGUGAAAUUCGUAGAUAUUCGCAAGAACACCAGUGGCGAAGGCGGCUCACUGGCCCGGUACUGACGCUGAGGUGCGAAAGCGUGGGGAGCAAACAGG
rnacentral:rRNA from 1 species